rnacentral:lncRNA from 1 species
CUUACUGUUCCAUGAAAGGCCCCAGGAACAAAACCAUUCUAAUGCUAGAACAAAAGAAAUUCUUAAGGCAGUUCUGUAAAUUUUAGGAUAGUAAAUAAACAGGAAACUGGAAGGAAAGCCCUUUCUUCCUCACAUGAUGUAGAGCUCCUGAAAAGAUGACUUUUUUGGGAGUGAAGUACCAGGGAUUAAACUCAGGGGCACUCCACCACUGAGCCACAUCCCAGUCCUAUUUUGUGUUUUUAUUUAUUUGGAUACAGGGUCUCACUGAGUUGUUUAGCAUCUCACUAAAUUGCUGAGGCUAGCUUUGAAUUCGUGAUCCUCCUGUCUCAGCCAAACCAGCCACUGGGAUUACAGGUGUGGGCCACAGCACCUGGCUACUUAUUCUCUUGAAAACAUAUUAUGCUAUUUUGUUCUCCAGAAAAUCAUGUCAUUGUUUUGUGGUGCUGACGAUCAAACCCAGGGCCUUAUACAUACCAGACAAAGGCUAGACCACUGAGCUACCCAUUUCCAAACCUUGACAUUGCUUCCCACCCCACUUUAGGAAAGGAGCCUGUUUAGAUUUAUCUUUAUCUUUAUCUUGGUACUUACUAUUAAAAUUCCAUUUUGCUGGAUGUGUUGGUACGCUUCUGUAAUUCCAGCUACUGAAGAGCCUGAGGCAGGAGGAUUACAAUUCUGAGUCACUGGGAUCACAGAUGGGUGUGCUCCACUACACCCAGCUAAAAUGAUCUUCUAAAAAGAGUGACCUUAAAACAAGAUAUUAUUAGAAAUAACCAGAAGUCAGUUGUUUAUAGUUUAUUUGUACUGUCUAUUCAAAAGAAGUUCUGACAGGUGACUGAAAUGGCAUAUAAGGUGUUAGACCACGAUGCAAGAAAAGACCACUGACUCCAAUUAAAAUCAAAUUAAAGCAAGCUUAUUAUUUCGACCGGCCGGGCUGCCUUUCCCAUCAAAAUCAUGGGAGCCAAGGAUAGCCGAGAAGCUUCCUUGCAGCCCAGUUUUAUAACGCAAAAAG